UACGGGGGGGCAAGCGUUGUUCGGAAUUACUGGGCGUAAAGGGCUCGUAGGUGGCCAACUAAGUCAGACGUGGAAUCCCCAGGCUCAACUUGGGAACUGCGUCUGAUACUGGAUGGCUUGAAUUCGGGAGAGGGAUGCAGAAUUCCAGGUGUAGCGGUGAAAUGCGUAGAUAUCUGGAGGAAUACCGGUGGCGAAGGCGGCAUCCUGGACCGAUAUUGACACUGAUGAGCGAAAGCUAGGGGAGCAAACGGG
rnacentral:rRNA from 1 species